GACGAACGCUGGCGGCGUGCUUAACACAUGCAAGUCGAACGGAAAGGCCCUGCUUGCAGGGUACUCGAGUGGCGAACGGGUGAGUAACACGUGGGUGAUCUGCCCUGCACUUCGGGAUAAGCUUGGGAAACUGGGUCUAAUACCGGAUAGGAACCAUCUUUAGUGUGGUGGUUGGAAAGUUUUUUCGGUGUAGGAUGAGCUCGCGGCCUAUCAGCUUGUUGGUGGGGUAAUGGCCUACCAAGGCGGCGACGGGUAGCCGGCCUGAGAGGGUGUACGGCCACAUUGGGACUGAGAUACGGCCCAGACUCCUACGGGAGGCAGCAGUGGGGAAUAUUGCACAAUGGGCGCAAGCCUGAUGCAGCGACGCCGCGUGUGGGAUGAAGGCCUUCGGGUUGUAAACUCCUUUCGCUAGGGACGAAGCUUUGUUGUGACGGUACCUAGAUAAGAAGCACCGGCUAACUACGUG
rnacentral:rRNA from 1 species